CUGCUGCCUUCCGUAGGAGUUUGGGCCGUGUCUCAGUCCCAAUGUGGCCGUCCACCCUCUCAGGCCGGCUACUGAUCGCUGCCUUGGUGGGCCGUUACCCCGCCAACUAGCUAAUCAGACGCGGAUCCAUCGUAUACCACCGGAAUUUUUCACACUGCCCCAUGCGGAGCCGUGCGCUUAUGCGGUAUUAGCACCUAUUUCUAAGUGUUAUCCCCCGGUAUACGGCAGGUUAUCCACGCGUUACUCACCCGUCCGCCAA
rnacentral:rRNA from 1 species